rnacentral:rRNA from 1 species
GACGAACGCUGGCGGCGUGCUUAACACAUGCAAGUCGAACGGAAAGGCCCUGCUUUUGUGGGGUGCUCGAGUGGCGAACGGGUGAGUAACACGUGAGUAACCUGCCCUUGACUUUGGGAUAACUUCAGGAAACUGGGGCUAAUGCCGGAUAGGAGCUCCUGCUGCAUGGUGGGGGUUGGAAAGUUUCGGCGGUUGGGGAUGGACUCGCGGCUUAUCAGCUUGUUGGUGGGGUAGUGGCUUACCAAGGCUUUGACGGGUAGCCGGCCUGAGAGGGUGAUCGGCCACAUUGGGACUGAGAUACGGCCCAGACUCCUACGGGAGGCAGCAGUGGGGAAUAUUGCACAAUGGGCGGAAGCCUGAUGCAGCAACGCCGCGUGCGGGAUGACGGCCUUCGGGUUGUAAACCGCUUUCGCCUGUGACGAAGCGUGAGUGACGGUAAUGGGUAAAGAAGCACCGGCUAACUACGUG